AUGAUGCGGCGGUGGAGUGGCGGGAGCGUCCGCUCCAUGGAUGAACCUUCAUUGGAAAGGUCAAGGUGGCCCUCGCGAGAAGGUCAAUCUGGCCGGAGACGCAGGAACGACGGUGCUUGUGUGGUGGCCGGGGACAGCGGUGGUUGGGUUGACUGCCAGCGGCGGCCUAUGGGGAUAGAAUGCCAUGGUCAGCAUUGGUACAAGAGGACACCGAGCCGUGCCCGAGCCGUGCAGCACCCGAACCCAUCCUCCCCCCUCCCCGAUCGUUGUUGUUCUUCUUCUCCGAUGACGACGCGCAACAACGCCGUUCCGGGCUGCGACCUAGCAAUGUCAAGCUCUGCUUCAGCCUCCCACCGCUCAUGGCCGCGCUAUGGUGCAGUGCCCAUGACAAGGUGCCCUGCAUUCGCACGUAUCGCACCCCUGAAGCGGCUAGUCACAACGACCGACAAGAAUGGCAACCUUGGGCGGGAAUUCGUGAAAUGCAAGAGCAAACCAGAGCAGGGAAAGAAAUUGAAGCAAUGCACCCAUUUUGAGUGGAUAGAUGAGUACAUAGAGCGGAUUGAACUGGAGGGUGCAUCAGGGGAGCUCGAUUUACCGUUGGAGGCGGAGAAGUUAGGCAAGUUUGGAUCGGGCGCGUCUGGAUCUGGGGCCCCUGGAUCUAGCAAUUCCAUUGGGGGCGCUCGCCCUUCCAUUGGUGCUACUGUGGGGGAUGCAGGAGUGACGGCAGAGCUGAAGAAGCUGAACAAGCAGAUGAAGAAACUCAUCGAAUUGCAGAAGCAAGGCAAUUUGAUGGGGCUGAUGGCCGGACUUUUUUAUGUUUGUGUAAUUGCUCUCGCAUUUGUUUAUGUGAUGAUAAUUAGUCAUAAGUGA
rnacentral:rRNA from 1 species